AACGGUCUAUACCUGCGGUACCUGCGGAAGGAUCAUUAGUGAACGCCCUCACGGGCUUAUAACUAUUCCAAACCUCUGUGAACCGUGCCCUUCGGGGCUAUUUUACAAACAUGGUGUAAUGAACGUCAUAUAUCAUAACAAAACAAAACUUUUAGCAACGGAUCUCU
rnacentral:misc_RNA from 1 species